rnacentral:rRNA from 1 species
UACAGAGGGGGCAAGCGUUAUUCGGAAUUAUUGGGCGUAAAGGGCGCGUAGGCGGCCCUCUAAGUCGAACGUGAAAUCCCCGGGCUCAACCCGGGAACUGCGUCCGAUACUGGAGGGCUCGAAUCCGGGAGAGGGAUGUGGAAUUCCAGGUGUAGCGGUGAAAUGCGUAGAUAUCUGGAGGAACACCGGUGGCGAAGGCGGCAUCCUGGACCGGUAUUGACGCUGAGGCGCGAAAGCUAGGGGAGCAAACGGG